ACAAGUUUCAACAUUCACUCCUUAAGCUUUUGAUAUAGUAGCAUUAGAAGGCUAAGCUAAAUUUCUUUACUUUUUCAAAAUGCCAUGAAAAUGUUACUAUAAGAACUAAUAAAGAGUGAACAUCAAUUGGAUAACUCAAUACAGAUAUAAAGAUAUGAGAGCAGGCAGUGUUGCUAUAUAUGAGAAGAAUGGAGCCAGUGCAAUGGCAAUGCCCAAUAAUGAAAACUGAUGGCAAAUAUGAUAAACUAUUUGCUGAGGCAGACAUAUGGAGACAUAUACACAGCAGAGGUGAUAAUUAGCAAUAAGAAAUGUUUGUUGAUCUCCAUUCAUAAAAAUCCUAACACCUCUUUGGAGAACAUAAAAUUCUUCAAUUCUCUCAAUUUAUUUACUUAUAGCUCUUACAUUGGUAAAAUAAAUUCAGAAUUCUGUCAGCUUUCCUUCACAGAAUACUGCCUUGAAAUAGUAACAAUUAGUAUAGUUUAACAUUGUAGGUUGUGGCAGUUACUAUACCACCCC
rnacentral:lncRNA from 1 species